UAUGUGCCUCUUCGGGGGAAAGAUUUAUCGGCAAAGGAUCGGCCCGCGUUGGAUUAGGUAGUUGGUGGGGUAAUGGCCUACCAAGCCGACGAUCCAUAGCUGGUUUGAGAGGAUGAUCACCACACUGGGACUGAGACACGGCCCAGACUCCUACGGGAGGCGCAGUGGGGAUCUUAGACAUGGGGGCAACCCUGAUCUAGCCUGCCGCGUGAGU
rnacentral:rRNA from 1 species